GAGCAGUCAAUUUGUUUAUCUUGCUGCAGAACAAGGAAAUGUUUGGCACAAGUAAACAUUAGGUAGCUCUGUUCUAAUUUUUUAAAUUGACAAAACAUUUGGAAAUUUUAUUCUAGGAAACAUUUUAAAAGAUAAGAAAGGCAAGCAUAACAGCAUAACGGAGGUGCAUUAGCAGGGAGAUGCUUAAGAAACAAAGCAGCUGGAUCUCUAAUCAGCACUUUGACAGGAAAGCUAUCUUCUCAAGCUGUGGAUUAAACCAUGCAUCACAACACCAAUCUCAGUUAAUGUAAUUACCUGCCAUUCUAUCCAUGUUGCUGCAAAUGACAAGAUUUCACCCCUUCUUUGGCUGAGCAAAAAUCAACUAUGUGCAGAAUGGACAGUGAGAGAGAGAGAGAGAGACAGAGGGAAAGAUCUUCCUUUUGCCGUUGGUUCACCCUCCAAUGGCUGCCGCGGCCGGCACGCUGCGGCAGGCGCAUCGUGCUGAUCCAAAGCCAGGAGCCAGGUGCUUCUCCUGGACUCCCAUGCGGGUGCAGGGCCGAAGAACUUGGACCAUCCUCCACCGCACUCCUGGGCCAUAGCAGAGAGCUGGCCUGGAAGAGGGGCAACCGGGACAGAAUCUGGCGCCCCGACCAGGACUAGAACCCGGUGUGCCGGCACCAGAAGGUGGAAGAUUAGCCUAUUGAGCUGCGGCACUGGCCUGAAGGCUGUAUUUUAUUCUGUUGACUGUGACUGUUUCCUUUGUUGUACAAAAACUCUUUAGUUUGAUGAAAUCAGAAUUGUCUAUUCCAGCUUUUUAUUUCUGAUGCUUUUGAAAUCUGAUUAAAAUAAAAUAAAAAACUUACCUAUUCCAGGGUCCUGAGCGAUUUUACUAAUUUUUACUCUAGUAUUCUCAAAAUUUCAGGCCUCAUAUUUAUAUCUGUAAUCCAAUUUGAGUAAAUUUUCAUAAGUGAUGAGUAAUAGGGAUCUAGUUUCAUUCUUCUGCAUGUAUGUAUUCAAUAUUCUGGCAUCAUUCAUUAAAAUGACUAAACUCUUUCAAUAGAUGUUUUUAGUACCUUCUCAAAAUCAGUUGACUGUAAAUUAAAGGGUUUACUCUAUGUUCUUUUUUCAUUGCAUUUGUCUAUGGAUCUGCUUUUAAUGCUAACACGCUGAUUUUGUUUCUGUAGAUUUGUAAUAUAUUUGAAAUUCAGGCAGUGCAAUGUUUUGUAUUGGACCACAGAAGACCCUGAACAGCCAAAGUGAUCUUAAACAAAAAGAACAAUGCAGGAGGCAGAGUGGACAGUGAAAGAGAGAGACAGAAAGAUUUUCCUUUACCGUUGGUUCACCCUCCAAUGGCCGCUGCGGCCGGCGCACCUCGCUGAUCCGAAGCCAGGAGCCAGGUGCUUCUCCUGGUCUCCCAUGAGGGUGCAGGACCCAAGGACUUGGGACAUCCUCUACUGCACUCCCGGGCCACAGCAGAGAGCUGGACUGGAAGAGGAGCAACCGGGACAGAAUCUGGCGCCCCGACCAGGACUAGAACCCGUUGUGCUGGCACCGCAGGCAGAGGAUUAGCCUAUUGAGCUGCGGCACCAGCAUCCAUUUCUUUUUUAAUAUUUUAAAACCAUUUUAACUGACACAUAAAAUUUGUAUAUGCUUUGUUUACCAUGUGAUGUUUCAAUAUAUGUAUGUAUUUUUAUGUACAAUUAGGAUAUCAUUACAAUUAGGAUACAAUUAGGGUAUCUCCUAAAACUUUUAACAUCACUUUAUAGUGACAACGUUCGAAUUGUAUUCUAUCACUCAGAUAAAUAAAUCUUAGAGUUUCUUCUAAGUUGUUGUAAUGUCAAAAAUUUGUUCAUUUUUGUUGCUGAAUAGAAUUCUAUGGUGUGUAUGUACUUUGGUUUGCUUAAUCAAUCUUUUGAAUGACAAUUGAGUUAUUAGGAGUUGGCCACUGGGAAUAAAGCAAUUAUGA